rnacentral:lncRNA from 1 species
CAAAAUAGUGGUGGCCAGCAGGGAGAGGGAGGUGAUUGUUUCCCUCUCUUCUGCCCUCAUGAUUUCCCAUCAUGUGGAACUGUGUGGGCUGCAAGUUUCCUUCCAGCCCAAAUCAUUCUGUAAUUCUCUGAUUUUGUGAUACCUUGAUUCUAUGAUUCUGUGAUCUGCUCUGGAGUACUGUCUAAAUGAGCAGCAUCCUUAGCUGCUGACCACCACCCAACCAUAGUGUCACAACAUGCUUGCUACUCACAUGCGCUGUGUUACUGCUUGUGUGAGUGCUACCCUGCCUUUCCCAAGGAAAAGCAAAGCCCAGGCUGUAGAUCAAUGCUAACCCAGCUCGUGCUGACAGAGUUCAGCUAAUAAACACUUAUGCAGCUCUGGCAGCAGGUCUGGCAGACGGAAGAUGAUGAACAGCCAGGAGAGAGAUGAAGCUCCUCAUGUCCACAGCCAGCUCAGCUGGAGCCUGAUGGACAAGGGCGAAGUCCUGGCUUCACCAAUGUCAACGCUUGUGUUGACUAAAGGAGAACUUGAAUCCUUCUUAGAAGAGGAGAUGGGAUUUAUGGGAAAUUCUGUGAGAAUCUUUGAAAACUGAAACCAUAAACAACCAUCAGGACUUCUAACAUUUAAUCAGAGCAUCAUGAAUGUUAAGAACAUCAUGAUCAUUUACAAAGACUUUGGUGACUUGUGAUAUAAAUGUAUCUGAAUCCUGUAAGUAUUGCAAAAAUGUGCCAAUAAUAAUUGACUCAUUCAUCUUGCUUGGAACGAGGGAAAAACUGAGGCUGGAAUUCUCUCCAUACUCUUAAUGCAGCCCUUAAUGUUUGGCUCAAUCCAACGCAGAAUGGGAGGGUGAUGCUGUGAUGCUUACCCAAGGUCCAGCACUGUAGGAGCUUUCGUCAUCCUCCACAUACCUGUAUUUUCUGAGAUAUUCUGCCUGCUAUUUUAGCUCUGCUGAAGUCCUGUGAGCUGUGUGGAAAACUACUUCAAAGAUGGUACCU